GCUUUGUCAUUAACACUUUGACAGAGUGCCAGACCUUGUCGAAAGAUUUAAAAGCUUCCAUGUAAUAUGUCAAAGUGACUCCAAUAGAUGAAUAGAGCCGGCCACUGGAUUCCUGGAGGAAAGGCUGCGGAACGUCAGGAAGCGGCUGAGAUCAACCAGCAGGUCGCAGAGCACGGCACAGACACCAC